rnacentral:rRNA from 1 species
CCUACGGGUGGCAGCAGUGAGGAAUAUUGGUCAAUGGCCGGAAGGCUGAACCAGCCAAGCCGCGUGAAGGACGAAGGUGCCAAGCAUUGUAAACUUCUUUUGUCAAGGGACAAAAUCAGGCUCGAGAGCCUGACCGAGGGUACUUGAAGAAAAAGCAUCGGCUAACCCCGUGCCAGCAGCCGCGGGAAUACGGGGGAUGCGAGCGUUAUCCGGAGUUAUUGGGGUAAAAGGGUGCGUGGGCGGACGGUUAAGGCAGCGGUAAAAGGCCGGGGCUAAACCCCGGCGAGCCGUUGAAACUGGCUGUCUUGAGAUGUCGAGAGGUAUGCGGAAUGCGCGGUGUAGCGGUGAAAUGCUUAGAUAUUGCGCAGAACUCCGAUGGCGAAGGCAGCAUACCGGCGGCGAUCUGACGCUGAGGCACGAAAGCGUGGGUAUCGAACAGGAUUAGAUACCCUUGUAGUC